GGUUGUUGUAGUAGUUGUUUCUGUUGUUGCUUGGAUUGGUGUAGCUAUUGCCCAACAAUUUAGUCUCACCCAAACCUUGUUGCUCAUUGUUGUAGUAAGUGCUUUCACCCAAACCUUGUUUCUCGUUGUUGUAGUAGGUAUUUUCACCAUUGUAGAAGUUGUUGCUGUUGUAGUUGUUGUUUUGUGGUCUGUAACCUUCCGGUUCAGUCACAUAGGACUCGGUGUUGUAGUUCUUGGGGUAGGAUUCUCUUGGUUCUUUGUUUUGUGGUCUGUAACCUUCCGGUUCAGUCACAUAGGACUCGGCGUUGUAGUUCUUGGGCAAGUACUUGGGGUAGGAUUCUCUUGGUUGGUUGUUUUGUGGUCUGUAACCUUCCGGUUCAGUCACAUAGGACUCGGUGUUGUAGUUCUUGGGCAAGUACUUGGGGUAG
rnacentral:lncRNA from 1 species